UCACAGGUGAUAUUCUCCUGGACCAGACAGCAUCACAGGUGAUAUUCUCCUGGACCAGACAGCAUCACAGGUGAUAUUCUCCUGGACCGGACAGCAUCACAGGUGAUAUUCUCCUGGACCAGACAGCAUCACAGGUGAUAUUCUCCUGGACCAGACAGCAUCACAGGUGAUAUUGUCCUGGACCAGACAGCAUCACAGGUGAUAUUCUCCUGGACCAGACAGCUGGGGGAUACACUAUUUAUACAAAAGCAUAGUGCCAACUGUAAAGUUUGGUGGAAUAAUGGUCUGGGGUUGUUUUUCAUGGUUUGGGCCCCUUAGUUCCAGUGAAGGGAAAUCUUAACGCUACACCAUACAAUUACAUUCUAGAGGAUUCU
rnacentral:lncRNA from 1 species